rnacentral:rRNA from 1 species
CUACGGGAUGCAGCAGUGGGGAAUAUUGCACAAUGGGCGCAAGCCUGAUGCAGCCAUGCCGCGUGUAUGAAGAAGGCCUUCGGGUUGUAAAGUACUUUCAGCGGGGAGGAAGGGAGUAAAGUUAAUACCUUUGCUCAUUGACGUUACCCGCAGAAGAAGCACCGGCUAACUCCGUGCCAGCAGCCGCGGCAAUACGGAGGGUGCAAGCGUUAAUCGGAAUUACUGGGCGUAAAGCGCACGCAGGCGGUUUGUUAAGUCAGAUGUGAAAUCCCCGGGCUCAACCUGGGAACCGCAUCUGAUACUGGCAAGCUUGAGUCUCGUAGAGGGGGGUAGAAUUCCAGGCGUAGCGGUGAAAUGCGUGGAGAUCUGGAGGAAUACCGGUGGCGAAGGCGGCCCCCUGGACGAAGACUGACGCUCAGGUGCGAAAGCGUGGGGAGCAAACAGGAUUAGAUACCCGGGUAGUC